rnacentral:rRNA from 1 species
UUGCGGUUAAAACGCUCGUAGUUGAACAUUUGUUCAGUAUUGUCGGUCUACCCCAGAGGUCAGCACCUUGGCACAUCCUGGACUACUUCUGGAGACUGUGUUCACACUUCACUGUGUGAGACGUGAUCCAAACUUUUACUUUGAGGAAAUCAGAGUGUUUCUAGCAGGUGUCUGUCAUGAAUACGUUAGCAUGGAAUAACUAGAUGAGGUGUUGGUCUAGAGCGGUUGGUUUUGGCCAUUGUAACGAAAACAUGGAUAGUUGGGGGUAUUCGUAUUUAACUGUCAGAGGUGAAAUUCUUGGAUUUUUUAAAGACGGACUACUGCGAAGGCAUCUACCCAGGAUGUUUUUCUUGAUCAAGAACGAAAGUUAGGGGAUCGAAGACGAUCAGAUACCGUCCUAGUCUUAACC